rnacentral:lncRNA from 1 species
AAGAUAUUACACAGAGGAAGUGAAGAGAGAAAUCUCUGUCCGGCGUUAAACCUUUCAGGGAGUGAGUUCGUUCCUCGCCGGUUUGGAGACGGCGAUCGUUUGCUCGCGGUUCAAGCAUCACUUCCGGCAUCGACGGUUUCCUUGGCGUUGCAUGGCCGGCUUUAGUUCCAGCGGCUUAUCUUUCCUUUGGAUGAGUCGGCUGGCUUUUGGUUCUGGCGCGCAUCAUCUUCUUCUUCGAUGACGGCGCUGGCUCUUGGCUCCGACCUCGAUCCAUUCCUUUUGGAUGUUGUCGGCUUUACUCCAAUGAUCUCGACGCGGUGGUUCUUUACACGGUUACCUGUUCCGGUUCGGUUCCGGUGGUCUCCGUUUAGAGUUCGUCGUUGUCGUGCUGGCCGGUGGUUGACAGUGGAGGAUUGGCUUCAGGGCACGUGUCCCAUCCUCGCUAAAACGUUAACGCGUGGAGAAGUUGCAAUGGGUCCACCGUCUUCAUCUUUGGGCUUAUUUUGUUUUGAUUCUGUUUUGUACUGAACUUAUUGGGCAUUUUUGUAUGUUUAUCUUGUUAAAUAAUAUCAGAUGGCAAAAAAAAAAAAAAAAAUAUUUGCAUAGGUUGCCUAUAGUUGAUAGUUAUAUAUAAUAGAAUUAUAUAUAGACUAUAUGAUAACGUAUGAUUUAUCCCGUGUUUAAUAAAACUUGAUUUUGAAAAGAAAAAAAUUGAAUUAUAUGUAAUGAUAUUUAAGAGACAAAAAGUAUAAAUUGGAUUGGAACAUAAGAAAUAUAUAUAUAUUUUCCCUCACUUUUUGCUAACUUAAAGUUAUAUAAAAAAAUAGUUAUAUCCAAGCAAUGUAUAUGCUUAAACUGGUAUGAAUGGAUAAGUAAGAAAAUACGUAGCAGCUUUGAACAGUAUUCAUAUUGAAAAGGUGAAGGUAGGAUAGGAAUAAAAGAAGAGGCUGAGACGGUGCAUGAAUAAAGAUUAGAA